rnacentral:rRNA from 1 species
UACGUAGGGUGCGAGCGUUAAUCGGAAUUACUGGGCGUAAAGCGUGCGCAGGCGGUGAUGUAAGACAGAUGUGAAAUCCCCGGGCUCAACCUGGGACCUGCAUUUGUGACUGCAUCGCUAGAGUACGGUAGAGGGGGAUGGAAUUCCGCGUGUAGCAGUGAAAUGCGUAGAUAUGCGGAGGAACACCGAUGGCGAAGGCAAUCCCCUGGACCUGUACUGACGCUCAUGCACGAAAGCGUGGGGAGCAAACGGG